GAUUAAGAACGUAGCGAAAUGCGAUAAGUAAUGUGAAUUGCAGAAUUCAGUGAAUCAUCGAAUCUUUGAACGCACCUUGCACCCUUUGGCAUUCCGAAGGGUAUGCUCGUUUGAGUGUCAUUGUACUCUCACACUCUCCGAUCCUAUGGAUUCGGGGAGCGGUGGACUUGGGUGUUGCUGCCUUUCCUUGUGGCUCACCUCAAAUGUGUCAGUGCACCUCUUGGUUGGACAUAGUACGGCGUGAUAAGUGUCUUCGCCGGCACCUCGCAAGAGGGUGGCCGAUCGGGAGCUCUGUGCUUUCAAACCGUCUUCGGACAAUUUCUGACAACUUGACCUCAAAUCGAGUAGGACUACCCGCUGAACUUAAGCAUAUCAAUAAGCGGAGGA
rnacentral:misc_RNA from 1 species